rnacentral:misc_RNA from 1 species
GAAAAAACAUCUGCGUCCGGUAGCGCGUCAGCCGCUGGAAGUGGUUCGUGACAAACUGGCCGCGAUUACUGACUGGACCGCUGAAAACGUUCAUCACGCUAUUCAGGCGACGGCGGAUGAGCUGGAAGUGGGUAUGGGUAAAGUUGGUAUGCCGCUGCGUGUCGCCGUAACCGGUGCGGGGCAGUCUCCAGCACUGGAUGUUACCGUUCACGCAAUUGGUAAGACCCGCAGUAUCGA